GACGAACGCUGGCGGCGUGCUUAACACAUGCAAGUCGAACGGAAAGGCCCUGCUUUUGUGGGGUGCUCGAGUGGCGAACGGGUGAGUAACACGUGAGUAACCUGCCCUUGACUUUGGGAUAACUUCAGGAAACUGGGGCUAAUACCGGAUAGGAGCUCCUGCUGCAUGGUGGGGGUUGGAAAGUUUCGGCGGUUGGGGAUGGACUCGCGGCUUAUCAGCUUGUUGGUGGGGUAGUGGCUUACCAAGGCUUUGACGGGUAGCCGGCCUGAGAGGGUGACCGGCCACAUUGGGACUGAGAUACGGCCCAGACUCCUACGGGAGGCAGGAGUGGGGAAUAUUGCACAAUGGGCGGAAGCCUGAUGCAGCAACGCCGCGUGCGGGAUGACGGCCUUCGGGUUGUAAACCGCUUUCGCCUGUGACGAAGCGUGAGUGACGGUAAUGGGUAAAGAAGCACCGGCUAACUACGU
rnacentral:rRNA from 1 species